CCUACGGGAGGCAGCAGUGGGGAAUAUUGGACAAUGGGCGAAAGCCUGAUCCAGCAAUGCCGCGUGAGUGAUGAAGGCCUUUGGGUCGUAAAGCUCUUUUACCAGGGAUGAUAAUGACAGUACCUGGAGAAUAAGCUCCGGCUAACUCCGUGCCAGCAGCCGCGGUAAUACGGAGGGAGCUAGCGUUGUUCGGAAUUACUGGGCGUAAAGAGUACGUAGGCGGUUAUUCAAGUCAGAGGUGAAAGCCCGGGGCUCAACCCCGGAACUGCCUUUGAAACUAGAUAACUAGAGUCUUGGAGAGGUUAGUGGAAUUCCGAGUGUAGAGGUGAAAUUCGUAGAUAUUCGGAAGAACACCAGUGGCGAAGGCGACUAACUGGACAAGUACUGACGCUGAGGUACGAAAGCGUGGGGAGCAAACAGGAUUAGAUACCCUGGUAGUCCACGCCGUAAACGAUGAUAACUAGUUGUUCGGUCACUUGGUGACUGAGUGACGCAGCUAACGCAUUAAGUUAUCCGCCUGGGGAGUACGGUCGCAAGAUUAAAACUCAAAGGAAUUGACGG
rnacentral:rRNA from 1 species